UACGAAGGGGGCUAGCGUUGCUCGGAAUCACUGGGCGUAAGGCGCACGUAGGCGGCUUAUUAAGUCAGGGGUGAAAUCCUGGAGCUUAACUCCAGAACUGCCUUUGAUACUGAUGAGCUUGAGUCCGGGAGAGGUGAGUGGAACUGCGAGUGUAGAGGUGAAAUUCGUAGAUAUUCGCAAGAACACCAGUGGCGAAGGCGGCUCACUGGCCCGGUACUGACGCUGAGGCACGAAGGUCAGGGGAGCAAACGGG
rnacentral:rRNA from 1 species